rnacentral:tRNA from 1 species
GCUGGGGAGAGCUCAGUGGUAGAGCAUGUGCUUAGCAUGCAUGACAUCCUGGGUUCAAUCCCUAGUACCUGCA